rnacentral:rRNA from 1 species
CAGUAGCCGCGGGAAAACGUAGGUGGCAAGCGUUGUCCGGAAUUAUUGGGCGUAAAGCGCGCGCAGGUGGUUUAAUAAGUCUGAUGUGGAAGCCCACGGCUCAACCGUGGAGGGUCAUUGGAAACUGUUAAACUUGAGUGCAGGAGAGAAAAGUGGAAUUCCUAGUGUAGCGGUGAAAUGCGUAGAGAUCGGAAAGAACGCCAACGGCGAAAGCACUCUGCUGGGCCGACACUGACACUGAGAGACGAAAGCUAGGGGAGCAAAUGGGAUUAGAUACCCCCGUAGUCCCUGUCUCUUAUAC